GCCCUGGUGGUGUAGCCUGGAACUCCUCUCCGAGGAGCAGCAGCUAUCAUGAAGCCCUGUCGAGGCUUCGACCCGGGUUCAAAUCCCGGCCAGGGCG
rnacentral:tRNA from 1 species